AAUGAGCGCAGUUCACCUUUACCUUGGAUCCACCUGCAGAAGCGGCUGUAUUUGAGCUGCAGAGAGUCUCUGGCACAGGCAGCCUCAGUCCAAUUCAACUCCACACAUGGUUUGCAGAGCGGAGCCCACCUCGGAGGCAUACAGACGAGCUUCUCAUCACUCCUAAUGUCUCAUCACCGUGUUGACUGGCGUGCCUGAGGACAGAAGACAGCGUGACAUAGACACUGGCGGACCCUCAAGUUGACCUCCCAGUGGUAUGGCAGGUCUGAGUGCAUCUUCGGAGGUCAUGACCCCUCCACACCAUGAGCAGGACAAA